UACGGAGGGUGCAAACGUUGCUCGGAAUUAUUGGGCGUAAAGCGCACGUAGGCGGCCGUUCAAGUCGGAUGUGAAAGCCCUGGGCUCAACCAAGGAAGUGCAUCCGAAACUGCUGAGCUUGAGUACGAAAGAGGAUCGCGGAAUUCCCGGUGUAGAGGUGAAAUUCGUAGAUAUCGGGAGGAACACCAGUGGCGAAGGCGGCGAUCUGGGUCGAUACUGACGCUGAGGUGCGAAAGCGUGGGGAGCAAACAGG
rnacentral:rRNA from 1 species